UUUAGACAGAGGAGUCAGCUGCUGCCCAAGGAUUCACAUGCUGCAGCUUAUAUUUCCCUUGCAGGAAAACCACUUAAGGAUGGCAAAUUACAGCAGGGCCAAAGAAGGGGAACAAAUGCAGAGUCACUGCGGUAACGUGUAGUAACUUCGAGUGAAGCUUCUGACAUAGAUUGCUUUUUAAGAGCAUCAGCAAGCUCCUGCUGCAGC